GCCAAAGUAGCUCAGUUGGGAGAGUAUUAGAUUAAGGAUUUAAAGGGCCCUGGUUCAAUCCCAUGCUUCGGCA